rnacentral:rRNA from 1 species
GUACGAGGGGGGCGAGCGUUUGUUCGGAAUUAUUGGGCGUAAAGGGUGCGUAGGCGGUUUGGUAAGUCUUGUGUGAAAUCUACAGGCUCAACUUGUAGUCUGCACGAGAAACUGCCGGGCUUGAGUAUGGGAGAGGUGAGUGGAAUUCCUGGUGUAGCGGUGAAAUGCGUAGAUAUCAGGAGGAACACCUGUGGCGAAAGCGGCUCACUGGACCAUAACUGACGCUGAUGCACGAAAGCUAGGGGAGCAAACAGG